UACGGAGGGUGCAAGCGUUAUCCGGAUUCACUGGGUUUAAAGGGAGCGUAGGUGGCCUUAUAAGUCAGUGGUGAAAUCUCUCGGCUUAACCGAGAAAUUGCCAUUGAUACUGUAGGGCUUGAGUAUAGUUGCCGUUGGCGGAAUAUGACAUGUAGUGGUGAAAUACAUAGAGAUGUCAUAGAACACCGAUUGCGAAGGCAGCUGACGAAACUAUAACUGACACUGAGGCUCGAAAGUGCGGGGAUCAAACAGG
rnacentral:rRNA from 1 species